rnacentral:rRNA from 1 species
CCAGACUCCUACGGGAGGCAGCAGUGGGGAAUAUUGGUCAAUGGUCGGGAGACUGAACCAGCCAAGCCGCGUGAGGGAUGAAGGUACCGAGUAUCGUAAACCUCUUUUGUCAGGGAACAAAGGCGGGGACGUGUCCCCGGAUGAGUGUACCUGAAGAAAAAGCAUCGGCUAACUCCGUGCCAGCAGCCGCGGUAAUACGUAGGGGGCGAGCGUUAUCCGGAUUUACUGGGUGUAAAGGGAGCGUAGACGGUUCUGCAAGUCUGAAGUGAAAGCCCGUGGCUUAACCGCGGAACGGCUUUGGAAACUGUGGAACUGGAGUGCUGGAGAGGCAAGCGGAAUUCCUAGUGUAGCGGUGAAAUGCGUAGAUAUUAGGAGGAACACCAGUGGCGAAGGCGGCUUGCUGGACAGUAACUGACGUUGAGGCUCGAAAGCGUGGGGAGCAAACAGGAUUAGAUACCCGAGUA